rnacentral:rRNA from 1 species
CCUACGGGAGGCAGCAGUGAGGAAUAUUGGUCAAUGGGCUUACGCCUGAACCAGCCAAGUCGCGUGAGGGAAGACUGCCCUACGGGUUGUAAACCUCUUUUGUCAGGGAGCAAUUGGCACUACGUGUAGCGUUAUCUAGAGUACCUGAAGAAAAAGCAUCGGCGACCUCCUUGCCAGCAGCCGCGGUAAUACGGGGGAUGCGAGCGUUAUCCGGAUUUAUUGGGUUUAAAGGGUGCGUAGGCGGAAUGCCAAGUCAGCGGUAAAAUGGCGGGGCUCAACCUCGCUCCGCCGUUGAAACUGGCGUUCUUGAGUGGGCGAGAAGAAUGCGGAAUGCGUGGUGUAGCGGUGAAAUGCAUAGAUAUCACGCAGAACUCCGAUUGCGAAGGCAGCAUACCGGCGCCCAACUGACGCUGAGGCACGAAAGCGUGGGUAUCGAACAGGAUUAGAUACCCUUGUAGUC